GGCUGGAACGCUAAUUACAUUUCAACUUGCUCUAAUAGAAUUUCAAAAAAACAAUUAAAAAAUACGUCCCCUGAAAUCAACACUGGACAGCUGUUAGAAUAGAGUCUUGAGGUAACAAGAAAUCUAUUUAUCCUUUCGCCCGUUUUGAGGGGUGUGUGGAAUUAUACCGGCAGCAGCAACCGUCGCUUAGAAGACAGUCCCAUUUCUUCCCCUGCACGAACCACAAAGUGAAACAGAAGAGGAGUGCUACCUCCACAGAGAACCUUUUGGCCGCUUCAAGCCCACUUUGCUCGGCGGCGAGGGACUCCAGAACGCCUGCGCAGUACCCAGCAGCCGUUGAGCCCGCGCUUCAGAGACUGGUUCUCCCACAUUUCCGGUGUUCCGGCGUGAGGCUUUCGUAGGACUGAUGGCACAGCUGCUCCGGAUGGGAAGCAUUUUGCUUUGGGUUUCGAGUCCUUACUAGCCUACCGCCGUCAUUUUUAUUUCUUCUGGAACUGACACCAGCAAGGCAGAGAAAGGACUCGUCAAACACCCCGGAGAGAUCCCAUUGCGUCCUCCCUGGAUAGGCAACAGUUGUAGAGGCAGUGUACCCCAAGAAGUGAGAGUGGCUCCUCAAAAGUUCCUUCUCCAAAAACUACACUCAGCAUCUCAGCAUCCAGACAUGGGUUUUGACUGUGUCUAUUACCUGGGAUGGUGCAAAACCAGACAUGUGAAAAGCUGAAAACACAAGUGGCACCUCCACCUUCAGGAGCAUUUCAAUAUAAUGAGUGCUGCAAAAGUAUAUCGGAUGGAUGCCAGAUUCUAUAGUGUCAGCAGACUAUGAUUUACAGACAAUGAAAAAUGGGAAGAGAAAGUUAAAAAAUCUGUUUUAAACUAAUUCCUUACUACCAUCGAGGAAAAGAGAAAAAAAAAAUCAAGUUUAAUGUUCACCAAUCACAGCUGAUAAUAUUCCAUAUCUGAACUCUGAAAUUCUUUGUUAUGUUUACAGGAAAUAUAAAAAUCAGAGAAAUGUUAAAAGAUGACCACAAGAAGGAAACAGCAACCAAAUCCAGAAUUUAGAGAAUCCCACACAUUAUUAUAUAUUAUUUCUUCAGAAAAAAAGGAUAUAAAAAAGGGAUAAGGUAACUUAAAAAUUAAAAGCAAAAUAUCAAGCAAAUGUGAAGACUUUGUUCUGAUUGUGAUUCAGACAAAAACUAUAAAGUGCAUUUGUAGUCUCAUGGGAAAAUAUGGGUUAGGUACUAGAUGAGAUCAGGGAAAUGGUGCUGAUUUUGUUAGAUGUUAACAGUGACAAAGUAGUAAUGCUUUUUUUUUUUAUAUAUAAACAGACUUUAUAUGUUAGAGAUACAUAAUGAAUUGUUCAUAGGUAAAAUGGCUUAUCUGGAAUUUGCUUUAAAGUACUUUAAGAAAAGGGGCACCUGGGUGGCUCAGUCCAGUCAGUUAAGCAUCUGCCUUUGGCUCAGGUCAUGAUCUCAUGGUUUGUGGGUUCCAGCCCUGCGUAGAGCUCUGUGUUGACAGUUCAGAGUCUGGAGCCUACUUCAGAUUCUGUGUCCCCUCUCUUUCUGCCCCUGUCCAGUUUGUUCUGUGUCUCCCUGUAAGGGUUAAAUUGUAGUGUAGGGCUA